rnacentral:lncRNA from 1 species
AAAGGUGGAGGCGGAAGUGACUGAUCAAUUCAGGGGCGUGGGGUUCGUUUAGGUUUUGCCCUGUGUAUGACCUCGUUUGGAGCCAUGAAACCAGCCUCAAGCUUUAUUCUAGGAAGGUAAUUCUGAAGAUACCUAUCUUCUUGAGAGUGAAAUUUUAUGGAAUCCUAGAUUUCUCAUACCUAGGAAUAACAAUGAGCAAAGCAGACCUUGGUGGCCAGAGGGGAGCCCUCAGGUAGAGCUGCAGAUGCUGGCAGUUUGUGUUAGAAGGUUCUGGGGCUAAACAGAUGCCUAGAAUUAGCCACCAAAAGGUAAAUUGUAGACUCCGCUCUUCAAGAAGCAGCAGAAGGAUUAGGAAUUCAAACAGUGCUAUUUUACGGUGGCUUUUCUACAAUAUAAAGAUGGAAAUGGGAUGAUGUUCAUUGCAAAUUAGGGAAGCUCUUCCACGAGUUCACGAAUGGAAAUAACAUCAAGAGUUUUUCAUCUUCUUAGUGUGCAAGGUUAAAAUGAAUAAUGAAAGGAAAGGGAGAGCGUCUCUCUUUACAAUGCUGGAACAGAUGUCUUGAGUCUGCCUCCUGAUGACUCAAUUUAUAUCAUGUGCUCAGCCCUAAACCAAUCCCUGUGGCAGAAGUGAAGUGGCUGUGAAAAGAACUGGGGGUAGUAUUGAGAAGAAAAGUAGAAAAUGACAGGUCAAAAUAUAACAAAUGUCCGCUACCAAAAAUAAUGUUUUCCUGUCAAUUUUUAAGCAUGUGUGUAUGGUUUCAAUGUAUUAUUAAAAGUAUGUGUGUGUAUACAUAUACAUAUAAGAAUCUAAUGUAUUCUAUAU